GGGGGGAGUGCUAUAAUGCAGUCGAGCGGACAGAUGGGAGCUUGCUCCCUGAUGUUAGCGGCGGACGGGUGAGUAACACGUGGGUAACCUGCCUGUAAGACUGGGAUAACUCCGGGAAACCGGGGCUAAUACCGGAUGCUUGUUUGAACCGCAUGGUUCAAACAUAAAAGGUGGCUUCGGCUACCACUUACAGAUGGACCCGCGGCGCAUUAGCUAGUUGGUGAGGUAAUGGCUCACCAAGGCGACGAUGCGUAGCCGACCUGAGAGGGUGAUCGGCCACACUGGGACUGAGACACGGCCCAGACUCCUACGGGAGGCAGCAGUAGGGAAUCUUCCGCAAUGGACGAAAGUCUGACGGAGCAACGCCGCGUGAGUGAUGAAGGUUUUCGGAUCGUAAAGCUCUGUUGUUAGGGAAGAACAAGUACCGUUCGAAUAGGGCGGUACCUUGACGGUACCUAACCAGAAAGCCACGGCUAACUACGUGCCAGCAGCCGCGGUAAUACGUAGGUGGCAAGCGUUGUCCGGAAUUAUUGGGCGUAAAGGGCUCGCAGGCGGUUCCUUAAGUCUGAUGUGAAAGCCCCCGGCUCAACCGGGGAGGGUCAUUGGAAACUGGGGAACUUGAGUGCAGAAGAGGAGAGUGGAAUUCCACGUGUAGCGGUGAAAUGCGUAAAGAUGUGGAGGAACACCAGUGGCGAAGGCGACUCUCUGGUCUGUAACUGACGCUGAGGAGCGAAAGCGUGGGGAGCGAACAGGAUUAGAUACCCUGGUAGUCCACGCCGUAAACGAUGAGUGCUAAGUGUUAGGGGGUUUCCGCCCCUUAGUGCUGCAGCUAACGCAUUAAGCACUCCGCCUGGGGAGUACGGUCGCAAGACUGAAACUCAAAGGAAUUGACGGGGGCCCGCACAAGCGG
rnacentral:rRNA from 1 species